rnacentral:misc_RNA from 1 species
GGAAAUCAUCAAGGAGAGUAUCAAGAGGGGAAAUGUCCAUGCACUCACAUAUCCGCACUGUGCAUUAACUAAACAAUCAACCCAAAAUCAGAAUGUCAUAACCCUAGAAGACUGUCACUAGAUAUGCUCAUUAUUGAAAUAAUCCGCUAAAGUAGAAUAAUAAUUUGUUGACAUCCUAGUCCACCUCAAUAAUAGGCAUGUUCUUCUCACAAACUAUGAAGCAAGCAAGCAAGCCAAGAGAAAGGCAUGAAGAAGUGAUCCAAUUUCUUCUUAUUGGCAAUAAGCAAGCAAUAUCAGCAUUUUCUCGGCGAAACGUAAGAAUAAUUCACAAUUAGAAAACCAGAAUGACCAGAAGCCAAUCCAAUUCAGAAGCACAGCCACCUAGAACGCCACCAAAACCCUAGUUAACCGCCCCAAAAAACCCAGAUCCUAAACUAAUACGUGAUCAUAGUAAUAAUGAUAAUAAAUAAUAAGAAUAGUAAAAACCGAUCAGAGCAAGAAAUGAGGUGAUCAAUU